GGAGAGGUGACCGAGUGGCCGAAGGUGGCAGCCUGCUAAGCUGUUGUAGGGGGUAACUCCUACCGAGGGUUCGAAUCCCUCCCUCUCCGCCA
rnacentral:tRNA from 3 species